rnacentral:rRNA from 1 species
GUCGUACGCUUCUUUUUCCACCGGAGCUUGCUCCACCGGAAAAAGAAGAGUGGCGAACGGGUGAGUAACACGUGGGUAACCUGCCCAUCAGAAGGGGAUAACACUUGGAAACAGGUGCUAAUACCGUAUAACAAUCGAAACCGCAUGGUUUUGAUUUGAAAGGCGCUUUCGGGUGUCGCUGAUGGAUGGACCCGCGGUGCAUUAGCUAGUUGGUGAGGUAACGGCUCACCAAGGCCACGAUGCAUAGCCGACCUGAGAGGGUGAUCGGCCACAUUGGGACUGAGACACGGCCCAAACUCCUACGGGAGGCAGCAGUAGGGAAUCUUCGGCAAUGGACGAAAGUCUGACCGAGCAACGCCGCGUGAGUGAAGAAGGUUUUCGGAUCGUAAAACUCUGUUGUUAGAGAAGAACAAGGAUGAGAGUAACUGUUCAUCCCUUGACGGUAUCUAACCAGAAAGCCACGGCUAACUACGUGCCAGCAGCCGCGGUAAUACGUAGGUGGCAAGCGUUGUCCGGAUUUAUUGGGCGUAAAGCGAGCGCAGGCGGUUUCUUAAGUCUGAUGUGAAAGCCCCCGGCUCAACCGGGGAGGGUCAUUGGAAACUGGGAGACUUGAGUGCAGAAGAGGAGAGUGGAAUUCCAUGUGUAGCGGUGAAAUGCGUAGAUAUAUGGAGGAACACCAGUGGCGAAGGCGGCUCUCUGGUCUGUAACUGACGCUGAGGCUCGAAAGCGUGGGGAGCAAACAGGAUUAGAUACCCUGGUAGUCCACGCCGUAAACGAUGAGUGCUAAGUGUUGGAGGGUUUCCGCCCUUCAGUGCUGCAGCUAACGCAUUAAGCACUCCGCCUGGGGAGUACGACCGCAAGGUUGAAACUCAAAGGAAUUGACGGGGGCCCGCACAA